rnacentral:lncRNA from 1 species
AAAUACAUUCCUUAAUGAACUUAGCCUGAUCUUAAACAACAAUUAAUCUAAAUAAGCAUUUUCAAAACUAUAACCAGUUUUACGAAUCCGGAUGUGGUCUGUACUCGGCUGCCGAUUCACGAAUCCUGCCUUAAACAACAAUUAAUCUAAAUAAGCAUUUUCAAAACUAUAAGCAGUUUCACGAAUUCAGGUGUGGUCUGUACUUGGCCGCCGAUUCACGAAUCAGGCCUUAAACAACAAUUAAUCUAAAUAAGCAUUUUCAAAACUAUAAGCAGUUUCCGCAUCUAAGACAAGUAUAUGCAUAGCAUGAAUUAAUACAAGCACACCAAAAGCUAACCCUACAGAAAUAAAAGCCUAUCUACAGAUUAAUAAAAAGAUCAUCACUUACCCAUCUAGCGUACUCUAAAAAUGGAAGUGGUUUCAAUCAGUUUCUCAAGAAACCCUAGCCCAAAAACAAAUAAAUAAAAGCAGAGAAAUGGAGAUUUAUUACCUUUUUGGAAAGUUGCUAGGAGUUGAGGGUUGACAAAGUUGCAGAGAAGAACAAGAAAAAUUAGAGAGAAAGAAGAGAAUAAUUAAAGAAAAAGAAGAACAAUAAUCGGAACAGGCGGACGGGUGGACGGCCUGACGCUGAUGGAAUGGAAUGGCUAUUAGUUUUAGUUUUAG